rnacentral:lncRNA from 1 species
GGGCCACACCUGCCGCGAAGGUUACAGUCGGUGAAGUAGAUCGGGGACACGAACUUCUCCACCCGCUCGAAAGUGGUGCGCCAGUGCUUCAAGAACGGCGCUGCCGCCAUGGCGAUGCGCCUUCCCUCCCCGGAAGAUCCUUGGUGCUGCCGGCUCGUUGCACCGCUUGGAACCAAAGGUUCCGGCAUCCAACCAGCUUACAGACCCGAGCAGCUUUUCUGGGAACACCACGGCUUUUGCGAGAGGCUGGCUCUGGGGAAGCCUCCCCGGUUCUCAGCUCAUCCUAGCUGUCUUGACAGCUGGGUAAAUUAUCUUUAAAUACAAUGGUACUAAAUCUGAAGCCACAUAGUACUAUGGUACACAAGAAGCUAGAGCAGUUAUGCUAGCACAUCAAAGCAUAUUUCUUUAAUAAAAAAUUGACAAUAUGU